GACGAACGCUGGCGGCGUGCUUAACACAUGCAAGUCGAGCGAUGAAGCACCUUCGGGUGUGAAUUAGCGGCGAACGGGUGAGGAACACGUGAGAAAUCUGCCUUCAACUCUGGGAUAACUCCGGGAAACCGGGGCUAAUACCGGAUAUGAGCCUUGAUCGCAUGAUCGGGGCUGGAAAGUUUUUCGGUUGAAGAUGAUCUCGCGGCCUAUCAGCUUGUUGGUGAGGUAAUGGCUCACCAAGGCGACGACGGGUAGCCGGCCUGAGAGGGCGACCGGCCACACUGGGACUGAGACACGGCCCAGACUCCUACGGGAGGCAGCAGUGGGGAAUAUUGGGCAAUGGAGGAAACUCUGACCCAGCGACGCCGCGUGAGGGAUGAAGGCCUUCGGGUUGUAAACCUCUUUCAGUAGGGAAGAAGCGAAAGUGACGGUACCUACAGAAGAAGCACCGGCUAACUAUGUGCCAGCCGCCGCCGUAACAC
rnacentral:rRNA from 1 species